AUUGAACGCUGGCGGCAGGCCUAACACAUGCAAGUCGAGCGGAGUGGCGGACGGGUGAGUAAUGCCUAGGAAUCUGCCUGGUAGUGGGGGAUAACGUACGGCAACGGGAGCUAAUACCGCAUACUACCAGAUGAGCCUAGGUCGGAGUAGCUAGUUGGUGGGGUAAAGGCCUACCAAGGCGACGAUCCGUAACUGGUAUGAGUGGAUGAUCAGUCACACUGGAACUGAGACACGGUCCAGACUCCUACGGGAGGCAGCAGUAGGGAAUAUUGGGCAAUGGGCGAAAGCCUGAUCCAGCCAUGCCGCGUGUGUGAAGAAGGUCUUCGGAUUGUAAAGCACUUUUAUUUGGGAGGCGUUACCAACAGAGUAAGCACCGGCUAACUUCGUGCCAGCAGCCGCGGUAAUAC
rnacentral:rRNA from 1 species